rnacentral:RNase_P_RNA from 1 species
CGAGUCGACCGGGCGGCCGCGUCGGGGCCAUAGACCCCGCCGAGGAACGUCCGGACUCCGAAGGGCAGGGCGGUUGUUAACGGCAACCCGGGGUGACCCGCGGGACAGUGCCACAGAAAACAGACCGCUUCGCCUCUGGCGAAGUAAGGGUGAAACGGUGAGGUAAGAGCUCACCAGCACGACGGGUGACCGUCGUGGCUAGGUAAACCCCGCCCGGAGCAAGGCCAAGAAGGGUCCUCCCCGAAAGGGGAGAGCCCGCGUGAGCGUUCGAGGGCUGCCCGCCCGAGCUCACGGGUAGGCCGCACGAGCCUGCCGGCGACGGCAGGCCGAGAUGGAUGGCCGCCACCAGCACCCCGGUGCUGGGACAGAAUCCGGCGUACGCGUCGACUCGUCCG